rnacentral:rRNA from 1 species
UACGGAGGGUGCAAGCGUUAUCCGGAUUCACUGGGUUUAAAGGGCGCGUAGGUGGCGCCGCAAGUCCAUGGUGAAAGCUCGAUGCUCAACAUCGAGUCGGCCACGGAGACUGCGGGGCUCGAGCACUGUAGGGGCAGAUGGAAUUCCGGGUGUAGCGGUGGAAUGCGUAGAGAUCCGGAAGAACACCGGUGGCGAAGGCGGUCUGCUGGGCAGUUGCUGACACUGAGGCGCGACAGCGUGGGGAGCAAACAGG